ensembl:lncRNA
GUUCCUGCAAAGUCUAGCACGAUGUCUACCACUGGCACAUACACGUUAAAAAGAGGCUCUCUGGCCGCAGUUCUCAGGGAGGACGAUGUUACAGUGGACAACUUGGCCAGGAUUUUCAAGAUUACACAGUCAAGUGUUUACUUGACCAAUGACAUGGGGAUUUCAGUUUUCCCAGGUUCAUCUGGAUUCUUCAGUUGUUUGGACCUCAUGAAUGGUGGGAGUACCUUCCAGGUGAUGGGUGAUGAUGCAUGUGGGCCACUCCCUAGCCCAGUCCCAUUUCACCCAAACCCUGGACAAAGUCGACCUCGUUUCAGCUUUUCCCGAUCUGCCACUGCAACAGUUACACGUGCAGUUAGUCCUGCAGUUAGCCCCAAAAUGUAUCAAAGAACCAUUUUCCUUGGACAACUUGAGGGUGACAAACUAGUGCAGGACAAGGCAUUAGUUAUUCCUUUCGAGGAGAGUGAGGCCUGUUUGUCAACAAUGAAAACAAAAGUAAAAGAAGCCCUUGCUUUGGGUCCUGAAACAAGCAUAGUCUUGACUGAUAGUCAAGGAAAUUUGCUUAUCGAUACCCCUGGAAUUAAAGGGUCUGCGUAUUGGAAACAGAGCUCCAGACGUAUUUUUGCAAUAGCAGAGGAUGUAUUUGCAGAGAUGGGGAGGAGGAAACGUAGGAAACUAGGGCAAACUUCAAGACAUGAGGACUCUGGGCUCUGUGACAUAAAAGACAAAAUCGAGGAGGUCCUUCUAGCAUCGGAGGGUUUACCGGCUGUUUCAGCCAAGCUGAGAGAGCUGUGCAAGCGUAGCGAGGGCCUUACUGAACAGCAGAGUGAGGUUCUAAGAACCUCGUUCAAGUGCUGUGUGUGCAGAGGAGUGAUGGACAGUCCCGUAUUGGCACGCUGCUGUCGCAGUCUAAUUGGCUGUAGACAGUGUGUUGAUUUAUUUGUUCAGGAAGGUCAAGCAUGUGUAAAAUGCAGGUCUGCCAUUUCAAGAGAAUCAAUUGUGGUUGUUGCUGGCCUCUCUGAAGUUUUAAAUGUUAUUAAGGCCUUAGAUGAGCAGUACAGCUCGGCCUGAGGUUGCAACGGUUAGUGUAGCAUUCUGAAGGAUAAAACAUAUGGCAAUAUGGACAUUUUUAAUACAAUAUAAAAAGUGUUUAUUUGCCAUGUGUCUAUUACCAUGUUUUGUUUUUUAAUACCAUUUCUAAUCUGAUUUGCAUUUUGAAUGUUUAAACAAUUCGUUGUAAUGUUUUUAUUCAUCAGGUCUGUUGACUGUUUUGUAAUAGUUUUUCUCAGCAUUCUUGAUGCGAAGUCAAUGUUUGCAUGUAACACGUUAAUGCAAAUAUGUAGUUUACACUAAAAAAUACAAUAUGCAAACUGAAAGAUUUUAAUAUUUCAUUGUAAUAGGUUUGUUAACUGUUUUGUAAUAGUUGUUGUCAGUAAUAUGUAAUACUUUAAUGCAUACCAAUGCAAUAAUAACAAUGCAAUGUAAACUGAUUGUUCCAGGCCAUCUUUUUCAAACCAUGGCCAUCUGUUUGUGAAAUGUUAAAGACGUUAAUGUUUUAAACAUGUUCUGUUUGCAUGCAGUGGCAUACUGAGUAAAAACAAAAUAAAGUUGUAGUUCAUUUACAUUUAAUUUAUUAGACUAUUUUGUCAGUACCAGUUUGUUUUGCUUUAAACUGACCAAUACAAAUCAUUGACUUAAAUGAUCAUUUGCUACCAGAAUUUUAUCCAAUUUCACUAUUAUACUUACUGUAACUGCUGUUCUUGUAAUAUUUUAUACACUCUAUGCUACAGUAGGCAAAAUGAUUAAUGUACAAUGACACGACUUAUUGAUGUCGUGUUCAUUAUUACAAUUACAACAAAAUAAAGCAACUCUUGCACAUCUUCUGGUGACAUCUAUGCACAUCUUCUGGUGAUGUUAAUUAGCUCAGUUAAACAGUCCUGGAAUGGGUGGUAAUGCUCAUUUACAGUACAGUUCAGUACAUCUCCAAGGUCAAAAUAAAGGAAAUUAAAUUCUGUCUCUGCCCUAAUUUUAUCCUCCUCAGACUGGAAUGGGUCAAUUCCAAACGAUGAUGGAGUGGUCAAUCUCUGUCCCAUUUCCUGACGGUACAGCUCAGCAGAUUCUGAUGCCCUUGGCAGAAAUUCCGCUAAAAUCCUUGUUUUGCAGCCAUCUCUUGCCAGCAGAUUGGGGAUGCCUUUGCCUAUAAAUAAAGUUGAGAAAAAUAAAUAUUGAUAAUACUAAAGUAAAUAAUGCUGGUUCACUUUUUUUUGGUCACACCUUCGACAUUUGUCAGCAAACCAUAUUCUGCCAACUGAGUUAUUGAAUGAGUAUGGUUUUGCAUUGUGUUAUCAAUGAAAUGGGUUAUUGGAUUCUAUUCAAGGUAAAAAGACAUGUUGAUGAAAUAUGACUGUAAACCCAGCUAAAGUCAUUUUUGUGAUGUACUGUCUCUUUUUAAUUGUUUAUUCAUUUUAAUAUGCAUAGGAGAAAAAGUAAUAGAACAAAAAACUAACAGUAGAAACAACAAACGUCAAAUACAUUAAAUAAAAAGAUCAACGAUAUUUAAAUAUAACAAACUGAUGGAAAAUACAGCACUGAUGCAUAGAAGGGAGGAAAAAGUAAUAACAUCAAUGUCCUGUAGUUAUAAAUAGUCAUACAUUUUGUAAUGCAUAUCUGUGGUGGCCAAAAGGUUAGGUCUAUAAAAGGCAUCCAUAUUUUUCAAAAAGUACUGGCCUUGUUAUUUAAGUUGUAAGUGUACUCUUCCAAUCAUAAUGUUUCAUUUAAAAGUUGUUUACAAAGAUCAAAUGUUGGAGGCAUUGGUUGGUUCCAGUUGAGAAAACUUUUUUUUUUUGCCAAGUAUGAUAAUAUGCCAAGCCUCUUUACAGAUAUAGGGUCAAAGGUCAUGUCCAAUACUAUACCAAAAAGAUAUUGUGCUGGUGUAUUGUCCAAUGAAGUUUGCAAAACCUUGGCUGUGAAAUUCUGUAUUGCUUUCCAGAAAUAUUUAAGUUUUCUACAUUCCUAAAAGAUAUGCAUCACUGAUCCUAUGUAGGUUUUACAUCUGUGACAUUUGGAUGAUACAUUUUUCUCAAAGGGGGGGUAAGGUAAAUCCUAUGCAUACAUUUAUAGUUCUGUUCAGCUAUUUUGUUACAAGAAAAUGAGGGGAAAAUAUUCUGACAUACAGCCCCCACUGUUCUUCAUUGAAAUUACACCCCAGAUCUCUUUGCCACACAUUUUAAGUGUUGUCAAGGAAGAUUAUGAUAGUCUAACAAUGCAGAGUAUAUUCAUCAAAAUCUCCUCUAUCCUGGACUACUUCCUAGAUGGUCAUCCUGCCUUAUCGAGAAUGGUUAUCAAAUGACAGAUUUGAAAAUACUUUCAUAAAACCAUACUACAUAAUCUAAAG